rnacentral:rRNA from 1 species
GAGGGUGACCCGCCCACACUGGGACUGAGACACGGCCCAAGACUCCUACGGGAGGCAGCAGUGGGGAAUAUUGCACAAUGGGCGGAAGCCUGAUGCAGCGACGCCGCGUGCGGGAUGACGGCCUUCGGGUUGUAAACCGCUUUCAGCUCUGACGAAGCUUUUGUGACGGUAGGAGCAGAAGAAGCACCGGCUAACUACGUGCCAGCAGCCGCGGUAAUACGUAGGGUGCGAGCGUUGUCCGGAAUUAUUGGGCGUAAAGAGCUUGUAGGCGGCUUGUCGCGUCUGCUGUGAAAGCCCGGGGCUUAACCCCGGGUCUGCAGUGGGUACGGGCAGGCUAGAGUGUGGUAGGGGAGACUGGAAUUCCUGGUGUAGCGGUGGAAUGCGCAGAUAUCAGGAGGAACACCGAUGGCGAAGGCAGGUCUCUGGGCCAUAACUGACGCUGAGAAGCGAAAGCGUGGGGAGCGAACAGGAUUAGAUACCCUGGUAGUCCACGCCGUAAACGUUGGGCGCUAGGUGUGGGUCCCAUUCCACGGGGUCCGUGCCGCAGCUAACGCAUUAAGCGCCCCGCCUGGGGAGUACGGCCGCAAGGCUAAAACUCAAAGGAAUUGACGGG